rnacentral:misc_RNA from 1 species
UCUCCGUUGGUGAACCAGCGGAGGGAUCAUUACUGAGUUUACAACUCCCAACCCAUGUGAACAUACCUUUUGUUGCUUCGGCGGGAUGCCCCCGGCGCCUAGUGUGCCCGGGAAUCAGGCCCCCGCCGGAGGACCCAAACUCUUGUUUUUCUAUAGAACUUCUGAGUGGAUUAUUUUAAUAAUUAAAACUUUCAACAACGGAUCUCUUGGUUCUG